rnacentral:rRNA from 1 species
CGAAACCGAGUGAUCUAGCCAUGGGCAGGUUGAAGGUUGAGUAACAUCAACUGGAGGACCGAACCGACUAAUGUUGAAAAAUUAGCGGAUGACUUGUGGCUAGGGGUGAAAGGCCAAUCAAACUCGGAGAUAGCUGGUUCUCCCCGAAAGCUAUUUAGGUAGCGCCUCGGACGAAUACUACUGGGGGUAGAGCACUGUUAAGGCUAGGGGGUCAUCCCGACUUACCAACCCUUUGCAAACUCCGAAUACCAGUAAGUACUAUCCGGGAGACACACGGCGGGUGCUAACGUCCGUCGUGGAGAGGGAAACAACCCAGACCGCCAGCUAAGGUCCCAAAUUACAGCUAAGUGGGAAACGAUGUGGGAAGGCUUAGACAGCUAGGAUGUUGGCUUAGAAGCAGCCAUCAUUUAAAGAAAGCGUAAUAGCUCACUAGUCGAGUCGGCCUGCGCGGAAGAUGUAACGGGGCUAAGUUGUAAACCGAAGCUGCGGCAAUAUCUUUUAGAUAUUGGGUAGGGGAGCGUUCUGUAAGCCGUUGAAGGUGUGUUGUAAAGCAUGCUGGAGGUAUCAGAAGUGCGAAUGCUGACAUGAGUAACGACAAGGGGGGUGAAAAACCUCCCCGCCGGAAGACCAAGGGUUCCUGUCCAACGUUAAUCGGGGCAGGGUAAGUCGACCCCUAAGGCGAGGCCGAAAGGCGUAGUCGAUGGGAAACGGGUUAAUAUUCCCGUACUUCUUACAAUUGCGAUGGGGGGACGGAGAAGGCUAGGUGGGCCUGGCGACGGUUGUCCAGGUUCAAGUGCGUAGGCUGAGUGUUUAGGUAAAUCCGGAUACUCUUAAGGCUGAGACACGACGUCGAGCUACUACGGUAGUGAAGUCAUUGAUGCCAUGCUUCCAGGAAAAGCCUCUAAGCUUCAGAUUGUAAGGAAUCGUACCCCAAACCGACACAGGUGGUCGGGUAGAGAAUACCAAGGCGCUUGAGAGAACUCGGGUGAAGGAACUAGGCAAAAUGGUACCGUAACUUCGGGAGAAGGUACGCUCUUGAUGGUGAAGUCCCUUGCGGAUGGAGCUGACGAGAGUCGCAGAUACCAGGUGGCUGCAACUGUUUAUUAAAAACACAGCACUGUGCAAAAUCGUAAGAUGACGUAUACGGUGUGACGCCUGCCCGGUGCCGGAAGGUUAAUUGAUGGGGUUAGCGUAAGCGAAGCUCUUGAUCGAAGCCCCGGUAAACGGCGGCCGUAACUAUAACGGUCCUAAGGUAGCGAAAUUCCUUGUCGGGUAAGUUCCGACCUGCACGAAUGGCGUAAUGAUGGCCACGCUGUCUCCACCCGAGACUCAGUGAAAUUGAAAUCGCUGUGAAGAUGCAGUGUACCCGCGGCUAGACGGAAAGACCCCGUGAACCUUUACUACAGCUUGGCACUGAACAUUGAACCUACAUGUGUAGGAUAGGUGGGAGGCUUUGAAGACGUGACGCCAGUUGCGUUGGAGCCGUCCUUGAAAUACCACCCUUGUAUGUUUGAUGUUCUAACGUUGGCCCCUAAUCGGGGUUGCGGACAGUGCCUGGUGGGUAGUUUGACUGGGGCGGUCUCCUCCCAAAGAGUAACGGAGGAGCACGAAGGUGGGCUAAUCACGGUUGGACAUCGUGAGGUUAGUGCAAUGGCAUAAGCCCGCUUAACUGCGAGAAUGACGGUUCGAGCAGGUGCGAAAGCAGGUCAUAGUGAUCCGGUGGUUCUGAAUGGAAGGGCCAUCGCUCAACGGAUAAAAGGUACUCCGGGGAUAACAGGCUGAUACCGCCCAAGAGUUCAUAUCGACGGCGGUGUUUGGCACCUCGAUGUCGGCUCAUCACAUCCUGGGGCUGAAGUCGGUCCCAAGGGUAUGGCUGUUCGCCAUUUAAAGUGGUACGCGAGCUGGGUUUAGAACGUCGUGAGACAGUUCGGUCCCUAUCUGCCGUGGGCGUUGGAAGAUUGAAGGGGGCUGCUCCUAGUACGAGAGGACCGGAGUGGACGAACCUCUGGUGUUCGGGUUGUGUCGCCAGACGCAUUGCCCGGUAGCUAAGUUCGGAAUCGAUAACCGCUGAAAGCAUCUAAGCGGGAAGCGAGCCCUGAGAUGAGUCUUCCCUGAUACUUUAAGUAUCCUGAAGGGUUGUUCGAGACUAGAACGUUGAUAGGCAGGGUGUGUAAGCGCUGUGAGGCGUUGAGCUAACCUGUACUAAUUGCCCGUGAGGCUUAACCAUACAACACCCAAAGGGUUUUG